AAGACUUUUUUUCUUCUUCUUCUUCUUG
rnacentral:sRNA from 1 species